rnacentral:rRNA from 1 species
GGUUAAGCGACUAAGCGUACACGGUGGAUGCCCUGGCAGUCAGAGGCGAUGAAGGACGUGCUAAUCUGCGAUAAGCGUCGGUAAGGUGAUAUGAACCGUUAUAACCGGCGAUUUCCGAAUGGGGAAACCCAGUGUGUUUCGACACACUAUCAUUAACUGAAUCCAUAGGUUAAUGAGGCGAACCGGGGGAACUGAAACAUCUAAGUACCCCGAGGAAAAGAAAUCAACCGAGAUUCCCCCAGUAGCGGCGAGCGAACGGGGAGCAGCCCAGAGCCUGAAUCAGUAUGUGUGUUAGUGGAAGCGUCUGGAAAGGCGCGCGAUACAGGGUGACAGCCCCGUACACAAAAAUGCACAUGCUGUGAGCUCGAUGAGUAGGGCGGGACACGUGGUAUCCUGUCUGAAUAUGGGGGGACCAUCCUCCAAGGCUAAAUACUCCUGACUGACCGAUAGUGAACCAGUACCGUGAGGGAAAGGCGAAAAGAACCCCGGCGAGGGGAGUGAAAAAGAACCUGAAACCGUGUACGUACAAGCAGUGGGAGCACGCUUAGGCGUGUGACUGCGUACCUUUUGUAUAAUGGGUCAGCGACUUAUAUUCUGUAGCAAGGUUAACCGAAUAGGGGAGCCGAAGGGAAACCGAGUCUUAACUGGGCGUUAAGUUGCAGGGUAUAGACCCGAAACCCGGUGAUCUAGCCAUGGGCAGGUUGAAGGUUGGGUAACACUAACUGGAGGACCGAACCGACUAAUGUUGAAAAAUUAGCGGAUGACUUGUGGCUGGGGGUGAAAGGCCAAUCAAACCGGGAGAUAGCUGGUUCUCCCCGAAAGCUAUUUAGGUAGCGCCUCGUGAAUUCAUCUCCGGGGGUAGAGCACUGUUUCGGCAAGGGGGUCAUCCCGACUUACCAACCCGAUGCAAACUGCGAAUACCGGAGAAUGUUAUCACGGGAGACACACGGCGGGUGCUAACGUCCGUCGUGAAGAGGGAAACAACCCAGACCGCCAGCUAAGGUCCCAAAGUCAUGGUUAAGUGGGAAACGAUGUGGGAAGGCCCAGACAGCCAGGAUGUUGGCUUAGAAGCAGCCAUCAUUUAAAGAAAGCGUAAUAGCUCACUGGUCGAGUCGGCCUGCGCGGAAGAUGUAACGGGGCUAAACCAUGCACCGAAGCUGCGGCAGCGACGCUUAUGCGUUGUUGGGUAGGGGAGCGUUCUGUAAGCCUGCGAAGGUGUGCUGUGAGGCAUGCUGGAGGUAUCAGAAGUGCGAAUGCUGACAUAAGUAACGAUAAAGCGGGUGAAAAGCCCGCUCGCCGGAAGACCAAGGGUUCCUGUCCAACGUUAAUCGGGGCAGGGUGAGUCGACCCCUAAGGCGAGGCCGAAAGGCGUAGUCGAUGGGAAACAGGUUAAUAUUCCUGUACUUGGUGUUACUGCGAAGGGGGGACGGAGAAGGCUAUGUUGGCCGGGCGACGGUUGUCCCGGUUUAAGCGUGUAGGCUGGUUUUCCAGGCAAAUCCGGAAAAUCAAGGCUGAGGCGUGAUGACGAGGCACUACGGUGCUGAAGCAACAAAUGCCCUGCUUCCAGGAAAAGCCUCUAAGCAUCAGGUAACAUCAAAUCGUACCCCAAACCGACACAGGUGGUCAGGUAGAGAAUACCAAGGCGCUUGAGAGAACUCGGGUGAAGGAACUAGGCAAAAUGGUGCCGUAACUUCGGGAGAAGGCACGCUGAUAUGUAGGUGAAGCGACUUGCUCGUGGAGCUGAAAUCAGUCGAAGAUACCAGCUGGCUGCAACUGUUUAUUAAAAACACAGCACUGUGCAAACACGAAAGUGGACGUAUACGGUGUGACGCCUGCCCGGUGCCGGAAGGUUAAUUGAUGGGGUCAGCGCAAGCGAAGCUCUUGAUCGAAGCCCCGGUAAACGGCGGCCGUAACUAUAACGGUCCUAAGGUAGCGAAAUUCCUUGUCGGGUAAGUUCCGACCUGCACGAAUGGCGUAAUGAUGGCCAGGCUGUCUCCACCCGAGACUCAGUGAAAUUGAACUCGCUGUGAAGAUGCAGUGUACCCGCGGCAAGACGGAAAGACCCCGUGAACCUUUACUAUAGCUUGACACUGAACAUUGAGCCUUGAUGUGUAGGAUAGGUGGGAGGCUUUGAAGUGUGGACGCCAGUCUGCAUGGAGCCGACCUUGAAAUACCACCCUUUAAUGUUUGAUGUUCUAACGUUGACCCGUAAUCCGGGUUGCGGACAGUGUCUGGUGGGUAGUUUGACUGGGGCGGUCUCCUCCUAAAGAGUAACGGAGGAGCACGAAGGUUGGCUAAUCCUGGUCGGACAUCAGGAGGUUAGUGCAAUGGCAUAAGCCAGCUUGACUGCGAGCGUGACGGCGCGAGCAGGUGCGAAAGCAGGUCAUAGUGAUCCGGUGGUUCUGAAUGGAAGGGCCAUCGCUCAACGGAUAAAAGGUACUCCGGGGAUAACAGGCUGAUACCGCCCAAGAGUUCAUAUCGACGGCGGUGUUUGGCACCUCGAUGUCGGCUCAUCACAUCCUGGGGCUGAAGUAGGUCCCAAGGGUAUGGCUGUUCGCCAUUUAAAGUGGUACGCGAGCUGGGUUUAGAACGUCGUGAGACAGUUCGGUCCCUAUCUGCCGUGGGCGCUGGAGAACUGAGGGGGGCUGCUCCUAGUACGAGAGGACCGGAGUGGACGCAUCACUGGUGUUCGGGUUGUCAUGCCAAUGGCACUGCCCGGUAGCUAAAUGCGGAAGAGAUAAGUGCUGAAAGCAUCUAAGCACGAAACUUGCCCCGAGAUGAGUUCUCCCUGACUCCUUGAGAGUCCUGAAGGAACGUUGAAGACGACGACGUUGAUAGGCCGGGUGUGUAAGCGCAGCGAUGCGUUGAGCUAACCGGUACUAAUGAACCGUGAGGCUUAACCUU